GUUUGCUUUAAGGAAGAAGGGGAUAUAGCUUUGCUUGCCUGCAUGGAUUCCUGGUGGGUUCUUCUAGUCCACAAAAUUGAAGGCCGAGUGGGUGGGAGGCAUUUUUGUACUGCUGCUUCCUUUUUCUCUGUUGAUCAAAUCCAGUGUUCUGCUCCUCCUUCUCUUGUUGUAGCUCUCACGAGGAACGCAGCUUCACUUGGUUGUCGGACGUUCUCUGCAUAGGUGACCUGAAAGGGUAAGCAAACAUAGGAAGAUGAUCUGACGUGCUAUAUACUCUUAUGGUAUCUUAGGGUUUCCAGCAGCUGAUGCUUCUUCGGACUCGACUUUGAUGUUACCAGCAUUCUUUUUAGUGACAAAGGAAGCUGCCAAAUUGUCGAGCUGAGAUAAGGUUUGGAUGAUGCAUGCUAGAAUUCCGUAGGAACUGAUCUGCUUCAAAGACCAUCGAAUGCUUUAGUUGUAUGCUUGUGUCUAGCUUUGCCUUGAUCCAUACCAUGCACAUCAGUAGAUGCAGAACAGUACAUAGAGCAUCAUCCACAGCUAGCCUUGAAGUCAUGCUAUCUAUAUAAACUGGACUAUUCACUGGAUGAACAAAAGCUUCACGGUACGUACCUGACAACAUGGUUAGUAUUGCUAAUUCGUCCUUUUACCGUCACAAAUUUAUCUGUUUUAUGUUCUAAAUUAUGAUGAUGAUAGUUGUUCUGUAAGUGUUGGCGUUAUGGUCUGUAACACUCUUUAUCUGCAACAAAGCUGUGUUGCUCUUAUCGUCAUCGAUACGUACAUAAACUGGAAAAAGGCAAACCUUAAAACUAUUCUGACUAGAAUUCCUUUA